GAUGAACGCUGGCUGCGUGCUUAACACAUGCAAGUCGAACGAAGCACUUUAUUUGAUUUCCUUCGGGACUGAUUAUUUUGUGACUGAGUGGCGGACGGGUGAGUAACGCGUGGGUAACCUGCCUUGUACAGGGGGAUAACAGUUGGAAACGGCUGCUAAUACCGCAUAAGCGCACAGCAUCGCAUGAUGCAGUGUGAAAAACUCCGGUGGUAUAAGAUGGACCCGCGUUGGAUUAGCUAGUUGGUGAGGUAACGGCCCACCAAGGCGACGAUCCAUAGCCGACCUGAGAGUGUGACCGGCCACAUUGGGACUGAGACACGGCCCAAACUCCUACGGGAAGCAGCAGUGGGGAAUAUUGCACAAUGGGCGAAAGCCUGAUGCAGCGACGCCGCGUGAGCGAAGAAGUAUUUCGGUAUGUAAAGCUCUAUCAGCAGGGAAGAUAAUGACGGUACCUGACUAAGAAGCACCGGCUAAAUACGUG
rnacentral:rRNA from 1 species